rnacentral:rRNA from 1 species
UACAGAGGGGGCAAGCGUUGUUCGGAAUUACUGGGCGUAAAGGGCGCGUAGGCGGCCUGUUAAGUCGAACGUGAAAUCCCUGGGCUCAACCCAGGAACUGCGUCCGAUACUGGCAGGCUUGAAUUCGGGAGAGGGAUGCGGAAUUCCCAGUGUAGAGGUGAAAUUCGUAGAUAUUGGGAAGAACACCGGUGGCGAAGGCGGCUCACUGGCUCAUUUCUGACGCUCAGGCGCGACAGCGUGGGGAUCAAACAGG